CCUACGGGAGGCUGCAGUGGGGAAUAUUGCGCAAUGGACGAAAGUCUGACGCAGCGACGCCGCGUGUGGGAUGAAGCCUUUCGGGGCGUAAACCACUGUUGCCCGGGACGAACAUCCCCUUUCGAGGGGACUGACGGUACCGGGUGAGGAAGCACCGGCUAACUCUGUGCCAGCAGCCGCGGUAAUACAGAGGGUGCGAGCGUUGUCCGGAAUCACUGGGCGUAAAGGGCGCGUAGGUGGCUUGGUAAGCGUGUGGUGAAAGUCCGGGGCUCAACCCCGGAUCUGCCGUGCGAACUGCUGAGCUCGAGCAAUGUAGAGGCAGGUGGAAUUUCGGGUGUAGCGGUGGAAUGCGUAGAUAUCCGAAAGAACACCAGUGGCGAAGGCGGCCUGCUGGGCAUUUGCUGACACUGAGGCGCGACAGCGUGGGGAGCAAACAGGCUUAGAUACCCCAGUAGUC
rnacentral:rRNA from 1 species